GGGUGCCUUCUGCUGGCCUCAACCACCCACGUGGUCGGAGCCCGGCCCUGCCGGCUGGAGAGGAUCCGAAUAGUGUACGCGUUUUGGCUUGCAGGGUUUUUAAUUGUCACCGAGUGGGGUUUACUGUAGGCUGUCAAAUCAGGAGUCGUAUUUUGUUGAGUCGAAAGUGAAAUUUACCUUCGGCCGACGUGACAGAGCCUGUGCCCUCUGCUGAUUUUCCACAUCUGUCCCUGGGCGUGUCAUUGGCUGCUCCUGACAACUGCGAUAGCUCAACCCCGGGACUUCUCCCAGGUAAGCCCUCCCACUUUGGAGAAGUAGAUAAUAUGUGAGGGGAAUGCUUAACCAGUGGGUUACCCAGGUCCACCCAGUAGCAGUGUUUCCCAGUCGUUUCCAGUCUGAGACAAAGCCAUGAUCUUGCCAGAACACAGGUAGACAAGAAGCCACUGCUUUCUUGGUUCCUCAUGCUGAGUCAUCCACCAAUUCAAGAAAUGGUCCAAACACUGCUCUUUGCCACUUAUAUAAGCUAUCGUUCGUGUUCAAUGAUAGCUUAGCACUUAGCACCUGGCACAGUACUUGGUAUGUGAUGCUUGUUUUCCCCCAUUAAACUUAACUAGCCAACUUGAGCUUAUAUCCUCUCAUAAAACUGCAGCUGAGGGUCAUCAGAGCUGGCUUCCUAUUACCCAGGAGUCCUGCUCCAUUUGUGCUGCUAUAACAGAAGACCAUAGAGUGGCUGGCUUAUAAACAACAGACAUUUAUUUCUCCCAGUUCUGAAGGCUGGAGCCCUAAGGUCUAGGUGCGAGCAGAUUCCAUGUCUGGUGAGGUCAAAUUUCCUGAUUCACAGUCUUUUAUCUUUUGACUGUGUCCUUACAGGGCAGAAGGGAGGUUUCUGGGGCCUCCUUUUUCAGGGCACUAAUCUGGAGCUCUCAUGACCGAAUGACUUCCCAAAGCCUCUACCUAAAGUGCCAUCACGUUGGGUGUUAGGAUUUCAACAUAUGAAUUUGUGGGGGGUACACACAUAUUCAAACGGUUGAAGGUAAGUUGAUGAAGUUGAAAGGAAUCAUGAUUUGCAGGUUACCAACCUUUUGAAUCAAAGAUUCUGUAAGAAAAAGGUACUUUUUAAGUAAACAUGAGCAGCAGAAUUUGACUUUAUACUUGAAGAGGAGGGAUCCGCUGGACCAUAAGCUUAUCACUGUGUUUCCCAGGAUGUACCUUAUCAGGUCGCUCACAAAUUACUGCUACCACCAGCAUAUUGGCCACUAGGAGGCACUGUUUCCCCUUCAGGGCUGUGGGCCAGUUACUGGCUGUGAAUCAAAUCUACAGUUGAGCCUAACUGAAGCUGGUUCUUUUUAUCUUCUAGAAAUACCGCAGGGAAAUAAACGCUGAGAGUGAUGCGGUCUUUAUGACCUGGCUUAUAAGGAGAGUGUAUUGAUUGAGAAUGUUCGUGUCUCACGGGGCGUCCUGUCUUCCUGGCUCUUGGACUUACUGAUACAGAUAGGGUCCUCUUUGCUCCCAGCAUAAAGGAAUCAUUUACCAGGCCUGGUGCAAGGGGCUGGGCAGAACAAAAUGCAAGAUCCCUUCUCAGAGUCCAGUCUAGUGGGGGGAGACACACGGCAAGGGAGAGGUCCUGACAGCCUUCCUCAGAUCCACCCUCACAGUGCCUGUCUUCUGGUUUUUAGAGUUGAGGAUAUUUCCCUUCAGACAGCACCUACCCCAGCAGGGAGUAGCCAUUGCAGCUCACAGCACAGCCCUAACUCAUUUUGUCAGUUCAUGUAAUAGAGGGUCCGUUUGUUACAUAUGCACUUGAGUUUAUCUAUGAGAUAAUUUUCUAUUUUAUGUGUACCUCGACCAAAGAGCAGCUAUGAAUAAUAACAGCUAAGAAAACCAAAUAGCUAAUUCAUUCAAUUGGGAUUAUGUUUACAUCUUUAUUCUCAAGAUUUAUUCACAAGAUACAGGAGUUCCUGUUGUGGCUCAGCGGGUUAAGUACCUGACUGGUAUCCAUGAGGAUGCGGGUUUGAUCCCUGGCCUGGCUCAGUGGGUUAGGGAUCCGGUGUUGCUGUGGCCAUGGCUUAGGCCUCAGGUGCAGCUCUCAUUAGACCUCUAGCCUGGGAAAUUCCAUAUGCCAAAGGUGCAGUUGUAAAAAGAAAAAAAAAAGAUUCAAUAUUUAGACUGAAUAACAGGUUCUACUUUUGCAGGGGCGGGCGGCUGUGCUCACUGCAUGCAGAUGUUCCCGGGCCAGGCAUCAAACCCAUGCAACGGCAGUAAUCAGAGCCACAGCAGUGACAAUGUCAGAUCCUUAAUUUACUGACCCACCAGGGAAUUCCAGAUUCUACUUUCAUUAAAUCCAGUUCUGUUCUGAAUGAAUGUCAAAGUUUGAAAUAUACAAGGGUUAUUUUAAUUUUAUAAAAUUUAUAUUUGGCAAGACUAGGGCUAGUAACAUCUUUCUACAUUGGUUUGGACUCUAAUGAAGACAAUAAUGACCCUUUAUAGAAGAAAUGCGAGUGGCAUCCCCAUUCACAAGUUUGAUGAUCUUUGAAAUGUUGUAGAUUUUAUCUCAGGUCCAUUCCUUCACCCUCACCUGGCUAUAAACAUGCAGGGCUGAAGGGUCUCAUGUCAUGCACAUAUCAUUAGGCUCUUCUCCCAUCAAACAUCUUUUCACAUACAUACUUGAAUGUUUAUGCUUGUCCAUUUACCUUUUGCUGUUAAGAUUGUUAGCUCUCAUGGGGUUCCCGUCAUGGCUCAGUGGUAACAAACCCUACUAGUAUCCAUGAGGGCUCAGGUUUGAUCCCUGGCCUCCCUCAGUGGGUUCAGGAUCUGGCGUUGCCAUAAGCUGUGGUGUAGGUCGCAGACUUGGCUUGGAUCCCUUGUUGCUCUGGCUGUGGUAUAGGCCAGCAGCUGCAGCUCCAAUUUGAUCCCUAGCCUGGGAACCUCCAUAUGCCAUGGGUGCAGCCCUAAAAAGCAAAAAAAAAAAAAAAAAAA
rnacentral:lncRNA from 1 species